AUCCUUUUCUCUUAAAGCCAAAAGGAUAUAUGCUAAAAUUGGAACAAUUCAGAGAUUAGCAAGGCCUCCACACAAGGAUUACAUAGAAAUCUGUGAAGUGUUCUGUGAAACC
ensembl:snRNA U6 U6 spliceosomal RNA